rnacentral:rRNA from 1 species
GACGAACGCUGGCGGCGUGCUUAACACAUGCAAGUCGAACGGAAAGGCCCGGCUUUUGUGGGGUGCUCGAGUGGCGAACGGGGGAGUAACACGUGAGUAACCUGCCCCUGACUGUGGGGUAACAUCAGGAAACUGGGGCUAAUAUCGGAUAGGAUCUCCUGCUACACGGUGGGGGAUGGAAAGUUUCGGCGGUGGGGGAUGGACUCGCGGCUUAUCAGCUUGUUGGUGGGGUAGUGGCUUACCAAGGCUUUGACGGGUAGCCGGCCUGAGAGGGUGACCGGCCACCUUGGGACUGAGAUACGGCCCAGACUCCUACGGGAGGCAGCAGUGGGGAAUAUUGCACAAUGGGCGGAAGCCUGAUGCAGCAACGCCGCGUGCGGGAUGACGGCCUUCGGGUUGUAAACCGCUUUCGCCUGUGACGAAGCGUGAGUGACGGUAAUGGGUAAAGAAGCACCGGCUAACUACGUG